AGUGGGCCUAUGUUUGUUAGAUUCCCUGUUUGUGUCAAUUUUGGCUAUCUGUUGUCUGUGUUUGUAUUACCUCUUGUUUGUCACAGUUAGUCGGUGUGUUAGUGCUUAUAAAUGGCUUCUGAGGACCAAGGUUUGCAGAACAGAGCUCUGGUGACCAGCUCAGGGAAGAGGAAGGAGAAACUCCGUCACAGUGUAGUGGCAAGGCCAGUCCACCUCAGCCCUGCAGUAUCUACAGAUACCAAUGGAACAGUGGCAGUUCCCAACUGGAUACACAGUCACACACAGAGGCCUGGACAAAAGGUCAAGGACCUCAUCGGCCCUGAGAGAGAGGCAGCACUGGAAGCUAUACAGACCGGUGUGUAUGUGGGCUGGAGAUGUCCAGACUUGACCUGGGAUUGUUUUAGAGUGGGUGACUCCUCCAUGUGCUUCUGUGGACAUCACCUGUAUGAGCAUGGGAAAUA